rnacentral:lncRNA from 1 species
UGGGGCAUGACUGAAACUGGACUCUACUCGGCGACAACUUUUCUUGACAGCACUGUGUAAGAUACAGAACCAAAGCGCACGCCUGCUGCUGCGCCAAAAAAUAGCACUUAAGUUUACUGAUAAUUCUCUCAUUUGCCUUGCUGAAAUAAAUGCCGCUUUAUUUAUUAUGAGACUCAAACAGUUGCGGGAAGUUGUAACUAA